rnacentral:rRNA from 1 species
AACGAACGCUGGCGGCAGGCUUAACACAUGCAAGUCGAACGCGUGCAGCAAUGCACGAGUGGCGCACGGGUGAGUAACGCGUGGAUAUCUGCCUUUUGGUUCGGAAUAACCCCGGGGAACUGGGGCUAAUACCGGAUGGUUCCUACGGGAUAAAGAUUUAUCGCCAAAAGAUGAGUCCGCGUCCGAUUAGCUAGUUGGUGAGGUAAUGGCUCACCAAGGCGACGAUCGGUAGCUGGUCUGAGAGGACGAUCAGCCACACUGGGACUGAGACACGGCCCAGACUCCUACGGGAGGCAGCAGUGGGGAAUAUUGGACAAUGGGGGCAACCCUGAUCCAGCCAUGCCGCGUGAGUGAUGAAGGCCUUCGGGUUGUAAAGCUCUUUUGGCGGGGACGAUGAUGACGGUACCCGCAGAAUAAGCCCCGGCUAACUUCGUG